rnacentral:rRNA from 1 species
AACGAACGCUGGCGGCAUGCCUAACACAUGCAAGUCGAACGAGACCUUCGGGUCUAGUGGCGCACGGGUGCGUAACGCGUGGGAACCUGCCCUUAGGUUCGGAAUAACUCCCCGAAAGGGGUGCUAAUACCGGAUAAUGUCUUCGGACCAAAGAUUUAUCGCCUUUGGAUGGGCCCGCGUUGGAUUAGCUAGUUGGUAGGGUAAAAGCCUACCAAGGCGACGAUCCAUAGCUGGUCUGAGAGGAUGAUCAGCCACACUGGGACUGAGACACGGCCCAGACUCCUACGGGAGGCAGCAGUGGGGAAUAUUGGACAAUGGGCGAAAGCCUGAUCCAGCAAUGCCGCGUGAGUGGUGAAGGCCUUAGGGUUGUAAAGCUCUUUUACCCGGGAUGAUAGUGACAGUACCGGGAGAAUAAGCUCCGGCUAACUCCGUG